rnacentral:misc_RNA from 1 species
GAUGAAGAACGUAGCGAAAUGCGAUAAGUAAUGUGAAUUGCAGAAUUCAGUGAAUCAUCGAAUCUUUGAACGCACAUUGCGCCCGCCAGUAUUCUGGCGGACAUGCCUGUUCGAGCGUCAUUACAACCCUCAGGCCCCCGGGCCUGGCGUUGGGGAUCGGCGGAAGCCCCCUGCGGGCACAACGCCGUCCCCCAAAUACAGUGGCGGUCCCGCCGCAGCUUCCAUUGCGUAGUAGCUAACACCUCGCAACUGGAGAGCGGCGCGGCCACGCCGUAAAACACCCAACUUCUGAAUGUUGACCUCGAAUCAGGUAGGAAUACCCGCUGAACUUAAGCAUAUCAAUAAGCGGAGGA